UACGGAGGAUCCGAGCGUUAUCCGGAUUUAUUGGGUUUAAAGGGUGCGCAGGCGGGGGAUUAAGUCGGCGGUGAAAUUUUGCAACUCAACUGUAAAAGUGCCUUCGAAACUGGUUUCCUUGAGUGUAGAUGAAGUAGGCGGAAUUUGUGGUGUAGCGGUGAAAUGCAUAGAUAUCACGAGGAACUCCGAUUGCGCGGGCAGCUUACUAAACUACUACUGACGCUCAGGCACGAAGGCGUGGGGAUCAAACAGGAUUAGAUACCCGUGUAGUCCCUGAG
rnacentral:rRNA from 1 species